rnacentral:lncRNA from 1 species
AGAAAUCCCAACCAGGAUAAGCUGCGUCCCUGAGGCCUGUUCUGAGGUGUCAUACACCUCUUACUUGACAAAUCUCCCCAAAGAAGGGCUGAGAAUACUCCGAUGAGACUAAAAGAAUCAAGAAGGAGCACUGUACUCAUUAAGGAGAAAUCAAUUCCUAAAUCCUCAGGUGGAGACCCAGAAAUGCAUGUCUUGGAUGCAUGUUGGGAACUAUGGUGCUUACGCGUUCACUGUACAGAGAUUUAAAGAGAGGUCAAGGUAUCAAACAGCCAACUGGACGUGUUAAUAAGUCUGAGUCUGAUAAGAUCGAUGCCAGAGUCAGACGGGACGCCCCAGAGCCUCUGUCAAGCACCUGAGGAAGGCAGUGGUCAUCUGAAGCCAGUCUGGGAGAGAACCCUGAGCACAAGAGCAUUCCUGCUGUUUCUGCCCUUGUGUUUGAAGCUUGUUGCUGUGUAGAGCUUCUCAUUUUUAUGAGCUGUUCACUAGAAACAUUACUCUUUAUAAUUCUCAUUUUUUCUAUUACAGAAAUUGAUGACUUGGAUGCCAUUGUACCUGCAGUAAAGAAAUUAAAAGUGCUUUCAUACUGAAAACAAUCACAUCAAUUUUACUGUGUAAAUUGCAUUUUUAACAUUUUAAGUAUUUUUAAAGGACUGAUCCUGAGACAGGGUUAUAAAUGUAUCAGCUCUCAGAAUUCAUCCUCUCACCAUUGGCCAUAUAUGGUCGGUCUCAAUCCAUAUAAUUUUUAUUUUUGAUUAUUUAAUAAAAUGUAGCUGUUGUUAUUAAAAUAGUAAAUUAACUUUAGAUCCCUUAAUCAUUUCCUAAGCAAUGCUUGAGUGCUCUAAAAUGUAAGGAAGAGACUGUAACAAAAGAGACUCAUGAAGACAUUGCAAAUUAUAGAAAGUUGCAUUUAACUUCAAGGUUUAAUGACCCUUUGGUCAGAGGAAAAAGAAUGCCAGUUGCUUUCUAAGUCCAACCAAUAGGAAGCCUUUGUUUUCCAGGCAAGGACUAAUGGGCAUAUUCUAUUAAGAUAAGCUUACAGCUGUUGGCCUGAAAAGCAAGAAGAAAAGGUUUUGUUUUUGUAUCAAGAUAGGAAGUUAGUCAUGGAGUGAAAUAGAUGCUUAGGUAGAAGUCUUUCUGUGUCUUUAUUUGCAAUACCAUGUAAUGUACUUUUAUAAAGAAAUAAGAUCACAAAUAAAGAUUUUAUGAAGAAUUUCCAAAUGUAA